CCCUCAGGCGCCGGCGGUCACUCAUGAAACUAAACUUGGACUGGUCUGAAAAAAUGACGUCCACUGCGGUAAAAGCCAAUUUACGUGCUUUUAAGCCCAUUCUAGACUGUGUAACUUCCAAGUUGAGGAGAGUCAGAUGUAGUGAAACGAGAUUUAUUAGUCGUUUGUACCUUCCUGUAUAUUAAACUGUAAUUAUCUGUUGAUAUACCGCACGGUAUAUAUAGCUUGUCUCAACUGUCGUCGGAGCAACCACGUGGAUUGUCGGUGUUUUUGUCCACUGUAUGCUACAUUUGUACUGGUCAUGUUUGUAACUAAGGAAAACCAAGGGUCACCUGUUAGUGCAUGAAACUAGUGACUAAGAGUCGUGUUUUCAUCGAACCCAGCCCAUCUGAAAAUGCCCAGGCAUCCUAAAUUAGGAAUACGGAGAGAUUGGCAAAGAUAUAUCUAUCAAGCUGGAGGUUUUGAAAAAGAAUUUCUACAAAGUGAAUUA